UGGGAAAUGAACGAUUUCAGCGACGGAUGAAACGGGAGGUCACAGGAUAUACUGGGAUUGAGAGGGUUCCUGAAAUCCGACUCUCGAGGACACGGCCCGUGGGAGAAUUGAACUCACAACCUUGGCACUACCUGGACUGUGCUCCGACUGACUGAGCCCUCUGCAUCCCAGCUGCGAGGGGCAGGAGGAGGCCAGGAGUCCCCGAAAGGCAUCCAGCACCUCUUGUCCUUGGGCCCUCGGGGCAGGGGCUGUGCCUGCAGCGUCCUGCCCGUGCCGAGCACACGGCCCGGGAUGGGCGCUGGGUGCCCGGCCGGCGCUGGCACGGACACGGCUCAAGGGCUGCCCAUGGCUCCCGGGCCAGGGGCUGCUCUGAGCAGGCUCCUGGAGAUGCUUCAGCCUGGAUACAGGCCACUGACAGCCCAAAAGCAGCCCAGGGAGCAGCUGGCGUGUCCUGGUGAUGGCGGCACGGGCUGCGUGCAGAGGGGCUCAGACAGCAAUUCCUGGUUCCAGCCUCCCAGAGCUCCCAGGCAGCUGCCAGCUAUUAAAUGCCAACUGACAGCCUGCAGAGAUGCCUUCAAAUCAAAGGUUCAGGUGGGAUGAAGUUUUGUUUGGACGAGGUGGGAGUUUCCAGGGAGCCAGCUGGAAGUGCAGAAGGGAUGGAAAGCUUUCCCAGGUACUGGACUUGCCUCUGUGGAUGUGCACUGAGCUCUCACUGCAGGG